GUGCUCCCUUCAGCAGCACAUAUGCCAAAAUUGGAACGAUUACCCAGAGACUAUUAGCAUGGCCCCUGCACAAGGAUGACUCACAAAUUCAUGAAGCAUUCCAUAUUUUA
ensembl:snRNA U6 U6 spliceosomal RNA